UGGGGUGUAGCUCAGUGGUAGAACACUUGCCUAGUAUGUGCAAGGGCCUACGUUCAAUCCCUAGAACCUCAG
rnacentral:tRNA from 1 species